GUUGAAGGACUGUGAGGAGGGGAGGUCUGUUGAAGGACUGUGAGGAGGGGAGGUCUGUUGAAGGACUGUGAGGAGUGGAGGUCUGUUGAAGGACUGUGAGGAGUGGAGGUCUGUUGAAGGACUGUGAGGAGGGGAGGUCUGUUGAAGGACUGUGAGGAGGGGAGGUCUGUUGAAGGGCUGUGAGGAGGGGAGGUCUGUUGAAGGACUGUGAGGAGUGGAGGUCUGUUGAAGGACUGUGAGGAGGGAAGGACUGUGAGGAGGGGAGGUCUGUUGGAGGACUGGUGUGUGGCCGGCAGCGAGUUGCCACAUCGUCAUCCUCAGCACAGGCAUCUUCUUCAUCACCUCAGAGUGUGUGUGUGUGUGUGUGUGUGUGUGUGUGUGUGUGUGUGUGGCUGGGUGGGUGGGUUACAUUCUGAGUGUAAUUUGUCACUAGAUACCCGUCCAAAAUUGUAAUCGGUAACAUAACUGUUGGGAUUACCCAAACUCAGGAACAUAACUGUUGGGAUUACCCAAACUCAGUGACAUAACUGUUGGGAUUACCCAAACUCAGGAACAUAACUGUUGGGAUUACCCAAACUCAGGAACAUAACUGUUGGGAUUACCCAAACUCAGGAACAUA
rnacentral:lncRNA from 1 species